rnacentral:rRNA from 1 species
GCUAAACGCGAAGAACCUUACCUGGUCUUGACAUCCAUGGAACCCUGCAGAGAUGCGGGGUGCGUAAGGAACAUGAGACAGGUGCUGCAUGGCUGUCGUCAGCUCGUGUCGUGAGAUGUUGGGUUAAGUCCCGCAACGAGCGCAACCCUUGUCCUAGUUGCCAGCACUUCGGGUGGGAACUCUAGGGAGACCGCCGGUGACAAACCGGAGGAAGGUGGGGAUGAUGUCAAGUCAUCAUGGCCCUUAUGGGCAGGGCUACACACGUGCUACAAUGGCCGGUACAAAGGGCUGCCAACCCGCGAGGGGGAGCUAAUCCCAAAAAGCCGGUCGUAGUCCGGAUCGGAGUCUGCAACUCGACUCCGUGAAGUCGGAAUCGCUAGUAAUCGCAGAUCAGCAUUGCUGCGGUGAA